rnacentral:rRNA from 1 species
CUUUAUUGGAGAGUUUGAUCCUGGCUCAGGAUGAACGCUGGCGGCGUGCCUAAUACAUGCAAGUCGAGCGAAUGGAUUAAGAGCUUG